AGCGGCGGACGGGUUAGUAACGCGUGGGAACAUACCCUUUUCUACGGAAUAGCCUCGGGAAACUGAGAGUAAUACCGUAUAAGCCCUUCGGGGGAAAGAUUUAUCGGGAAAGGAUUGGCCCGCGUUAGAUUAGAUAGUUGGUGGGGUAAUGGCCUACCAAGUCUACGAUCUAUAGCUGGUUUUAGAGGAUGAUCAGCAACACUGGGACUGAGACACGGCCCAGACUCCUACGGGAGGCAGCAGUGGGGAAUCUUAGACAAUGGGCGCAAGCCUGAUCUAGCCAUGCCGCGUGUGUGAUGAAGGUCUUAGGAUCGUAAAGCACUUUCGCCAGGGAUGAUAAUGACAGUACCUGGUAAAGAAACCCCGGCUAACUCCGUGCCAGCAGCCGCGGUAAUACGGAGGGGGUUAGCGUUGUUCGGAAUUACUGGGCGUAAAGCGUACGUAGGCGGAUUGGAAAGUUGGGGGUGAAAUCCCAGGGCUCAACCCUGGAACUGCCUCCAAAACUAUCAGUCUAGAGUUCGAGAGAGGUGAGUGGAAUUCCAAGUGUAGAGGUGAAAUUCGUAGAUAUUCGGAAGAACACCAGUGGCGAAGGCGACUCGCUGG
rnacentral:rRNA from 1 species